GACGAACGCUGGCGGCGUGCCUAAUACAUGCAAGUAGAACGCACAGUUUAUACCGUAGCUUGCUACACCAUAGACUGUGAGUUGCGAACGGGUGAGUAACGCGUAGGUAACCUGCCUGGUAGCGGGGGAUAACUAUUGGAAACGAUAGCUAAUACCUCAUAAUAUUGAUUAUUGCAUGAUAAUUGAUUGAAAGAUGCUAUUGCAUCACUACCAGAUGGACCUGCGUUGUAUUAGCUAGUAGGUGAGGUAACGGCUCACCUAGGCGACGAUACAUAGCCGACCUGAGAGGGUGAUCGGCCACACUGGGACUGAGACACGGCCCAGACUCCUACGGGAGGCAGCAGUAGGGAAUCUUCGGCAAUGGACGAAAGUCUGACCGAGCAACGCCGCGUGAGUGAAGAAGGUUUUCGGAUCGUAAAGCUCUGUUGUAAGAGAAGAACGGGUGUGAGAGUGGAAAGUUCACACUGUGACGGUAUCUUACCAGAAAGGGACGGCUAACUACGUG
rnacentral:rRNA from 1 species